rnacentral:rRNA from 1 species
UGCGCAGGCGGUUAUAUAAGUCAGAUGUGAAAUCCCCGGGCUUAACCUGGGAAUGGCAUUUGAGACUGUAUGGCUAGAGUGUGUCAGAGGGGGGUAGAAUUCCACGUGUAGCAGUGAAAUGCGUAGAGAUGUGGAGGAAUACCGAUGGCGAAGGCAGCCCCCUGGGAUAACACUGACGCUCAUGCACGAAAGCGUGGGGAGCAAACAGGAUUAGAUACCCUGGUAGUCCACGCCCUAAACGAUGUCAACUAGUUGUUGGAGCUACUUAGGCUUUGGUAACGCAGCUAACGCGAGAAGUUGACCGCCUGGGGAGUACGGUCGCAAGAUUAAA